AUUCCGUCCGCUAAGGCCGGACGGCGAAAAGGGAAAGCGGGUUUAGCAGCGGCCAGAAGCCGCCCACGGUCUCAAGCGAGGGGGAGUAAAGGGGCGCCUGCGUGGGAGGCGGAAUAGAAAGAGAAGGACGCCUCCUGCCCGCCGGUGGAAGUUGGUUGGGGUGGGGAAGGCUUCGCUUCUCCCUUCCCCCCCCCGAGAUCUUAUCCGAAGUCCUCGCUCUUCUGCGCCCUCGAUUUGCAAAGGAACAAAAGACGGAGCGCAACUAGGGACAGGCGGUACCACCCUCACGGACGCCUUUACAGCGUUUCCUCGCUCAAUGUCUAUCGAGAUUCUGUCCUUCAGAAUCCUGAUCAAUGGAUCAUUGAACACAUCAAACCAGAGUUCUCACCAAGCUCAAAUUAUCCUACUUUGGACACCUCAUGUGAAGAUCUAGAGAAGGUUCUAAAGCUUAGAAAGAUGAAAGAAAAGAGAAGAACCAGUAGCAAGGUGGAUGGACUCAGUUACAGUAGUGAUGGACGCACUGUUGAGAAACCUGAAAAACAGGUUAGGAUAGAUCAUUGUGGAGAAAAUUGAUUUAUGUGGUUGCUAGGAGCUGGAAAUGACUCAAUGGCACACAAUCAAUCAAUCACCCUUUUUAAACUGUAAGCUGGGUAGGGCGUCAGGAGUUGGGCAGCCUCCAAAACUGCAAAAUAAAUAAAUGAGUUUAAAUGUCAGCUGAAGUAUGCAGAAAAAUAGCCAUGCUUUUGCAAAAGUACAUCUUCCAUCACAUAACUAUAGAAUUCUCUAUCUCACAGCAGGAAUUUUGUCAAGGGGGCGAAGUGACAAGGUAGAAUGUGUUUAUAAUCUGCUACAAUAUACCUGUCUGUUUUUCUUUCAUAUGUGCUUUGUAAUUAAAUUGACAGGAACACAAUACAGCAAUGUUAAGAAUGUAAUGGAUAUUUUUGGCAGUGCCUCUUUUUCACAAAUUUGUUGGGAAAAGAAAUCUGUACUUUAAAAUAGCACCCUGGGAAGCUGCUUUAUACAAAA